rnacentral:miRNA from 1 species
AAAGCACUUAAGGAACGGUAU